AGCGGCGGAUGGGUGAGUAACACGUGGGGAACCUGCCCCUAAGUCUGGGAUACCAUUUGGAAACAGGUGCUAAUACCGGAUAAUAAAGCAGAUCGCAUGAUCAGCUUUUGAAAGGCGGCGUAAGCUGUCGCUAAGGGAUGGCCCCGCGGUGCAUUAGCUAGUUGGUAAGGUAACGGCUUACCAAGGCGACGAUGCAUAGCCGAGUUGAGAGACCGAUCGGCCACAUUGGGACUGAGACACGGCCCAAACUCCUACGGGAGGCAGCAGUAGGGAAUCUUCCACAAUGGACGCAAGUCUGAUGGAGCAACGCCGCGUGAGUGAAGAAGGUUUUCGGAUCGUAAAGCUCUGUUGUUGGUGAAGAAGGAUAGAGGUAGUAACUGGCCUUUAUUUGACGGUAAUCAACCAGAAAGUCACGGCUAACUACGUGCCAGCAGCCGCGGUAAUACGUAGGUGGCAAGCGUUGUCCGGAUUUAUUGGGCGUAAAGCGAGCGCAGGCGGAAAAAUAAGUCUAAUGUGAAAGCCCUCGGCUUAACCGAGGAACUGCAUCGGAAGCUGUUUUUCUUGAGUGCAGAAGAGGAGUGUGGAACUCCAUGUGUAGCGGUGGAAUGCGUAGAUAUAUGGAAGAACACCAGUGGCGAAGGCGGCUCUCUGGUCUGCAACUGACGCUGAGGCUCGAAAGCAUGGGUAGCGAACAGGAUUAGAUACCCUGGUAGUCCAUGCCGUAAACGAUGAGUGCUAAGUGU
rnacentral:rRNA from 1 species